rnacentral:rRNA from 1 species
UCGAUGAAGAACGCAGCGAAUAGCGAUAUGUAAUGUGAAUUGCAGAUCUACAGUGAAUCAUCGAAUCUUUGAACGCACCUUGCGCUCCUCGGUGUUCCGAGGAGCAUGCCUGUUUGAGCGUCAGUAAAUUCUCAACUCCUCUCGAUUGACUUCGAGUGGAGCUUGGAUAGUGUGGGCUGCCGGAGACCUGAAUAUUCGUGUUCGGGACUCGGGCUCCCCUGAAAUGUAUUGGCUUGCGGUCUGUUUUCGACUUUGCAUGACAAGGCUUUUGGCGUGAUAAUGAUCGCCGCUCGCCGAAGUGCAUGAAUGAAACCGUGCCGUGCCUCUAAUCCGUCGAUGCCUCUAUGGGGCGUCUUCUUUACGCAUUUGACCUCAAAUCAGGUAGGACUACCCGCUGAACUUAA